GGGGCUCGAUCGGGCCUGGAUCCGCCACCCAAUGGAUCGAUGGCUGUUUGGAUCAGAAUUUGAUCGGAUGGGUAUGACUGCCCGAUCGAGUUGCCUAAAUUUGGCAUCGGUUACUGAUCCGGCGAGGUGGAAGGAUCUGAGAGUAGAGAUGGAGGGGACCGUGUUCACCCCCUCGUUGGAAGGAAUGAAUCAUGUCAAGUCAGAGGACGGGAUAAUGCUCACCAAACCUUUUCUGGAUGUCUGCAAGCUCAUCCUGCCUGUGUUAGAUAAAUUUGGAGCUGCUAUGUCACUUGUAAAGUCAGAUAUAGGAGGCAACAUAGCAAGGCUGGAAACUAAAUAUGCGUCUGAUCCUUCAAAAUUUGAACACCUGUACAGCAUGGUGCAAGUAGAAGUCGAAUCUAAAACAGCUAAAGGUUCGUCAAGCUGUACCAAUGGUCUUCUGUGGUUAACAAGGGCCAUGGACUUCUUGGUGGAACUAUUCCGUAACUUGCUUGAGCAUCCAGAUUGGACUAUGUCACAGGCCUGCACAGAAUCCUACAGCAAGACCUUAAAGAAAUGGCAUGGCUGGCUUGCUAGUUCUAGCUUUACGAUUGCCAUGAAACUUGCUCCAGAUAGGAAGAAAUUUAUGGAGGUUAUUGGUGGCUCAGGUGACAUAAAUGCAGACAUAGAGAAAUUCUGCACAAACUUUUCUCCUCUUCUUGCAGAGAACCACAAGUUUUUGGCUAGUGUUGGUCUGGAUGAUCUUAAGGCUUCUUGAUGUAGAAAUCCUUCUGUCAUGAUCUUAUCUUUUGUGAUCCCUUCCUUGCUGCCAAUUAUAUUUCACUUUUGUUUAAAGGAAAAAAAUGGACAGUAAAUAAGGCAUCCAUAUAGCUGGUUGCCGAGAUUAAUGCAGUGUGAAGUUGGUUACUUGUUUUUGGAGCCGAAUUAUAAGGCAUGAUAGGGGACUGCCGCAUUCAGGGGUUAUUAGUCUGAUCUGAUGUCUGAAUUCUAAGAAAAUUCUGUAGGAGGCCAUGCCUCUCAUUCUAAACUAACCCAUUUCAAGCAUUUUUGGUGGUCAGGUCGUUCUUUUUCCAUUUCCUUUGUAGAAUCCAUCAGAAAAUCAGUAUAAUACUGUGAUAAAAUAUUUAUAGCGUGUCUAUUUUUACAUUGAUCAGUUAGUGGUAAUUUGUUAAGAGUUAAAAUUGCACCAGCAAA